rnacentral:rRNA from 1 species
GGAGUUAGCCGGUGCUUCUUCUGUGAGUGAUGUCCUUCCUGCCGGCUAUUAACCCGCAGGCCUUCUUCCUCACUGAAAGUGCUUUACAACCCGAAGGCCUUCUUCACACACGCGGCAUGGCUGGAUCAGGGUUGCCCCCAUUGUCCAAUAUUCCCCACUGCUGCCUCCCGUAGGAGUCUGGGCCGUGUCUCAGUCCCAGUGUGGCUGAUCAUCCUCUCAGACCAGCUACGGAUCGUCGCCUUGGUGAGCCGUUACCUCACCAACCAGCUAAUCCGACAUAGGCUCAUCCGAUAGCGCGAGGCCCGAAGGUCCCCCGCUUUCCCCCGUAGGGCGUAUGCGGUAUUAGCCUGGGUUUCCCCAGGUUAUCCCCCACUACCGGGCAGAUUCCUAUGCAUUACUCACCCGUCCGCCGCUCGCCACCAGGGAGCAAGCUCCCCGUGCUGCCGCUCGACUUGCAUGUGUUAGGCCUGCCGCCAGCGUUCAUCUGAGCCAGAAUACGAACCCUACGA